rnacentral:misc_RNA from 1 species
GGGGAAUCUUGGAGGGGCCAAAAUUUGUUUAUCUGUCUGAGGUGGGAAACAUUACUAGUUUCUCUGAUUGUGAGUUAGAGUUAGCGAUUGAUAUGGUAAGCCAUUCGAUAGACCCUUUUUUUUCUUGAGGUCUUACAUCUAAUUGAAGAAAUUUGGGUGUUGGCGUUACUGUUCCAUUAUGUGAGUUUGCGGUUUGUGAACAGAGAUUGG